CAAGUACUCCCUCCGUCCGGAAUUACUUGUCAUCAAAAGGAUGUGUCUAGAACUAAAAUACAUCUAGAUACAUCCAUUUCAAUGACAAGUAUUUUCGGACGGAGGGAGUACAAG
rfam:Triticum aestivum genome assembly, contig: Triticum_aestivum_CS42_TGACv1_scaffold_439194_5DL